GAUGAACGCUGGCGGCGUGCCUAAUACAUGCAAGUCGAGCGAACAGACGAGGAGCUUGCUCCUCUGACGUUAGCGGCGGACGGGUGAGUAACACGUGGAUAACCUACCUAUAAGACUGGGAUAACUUCGGGAAACCGGAGCUAAUACCGGAUAAUAUAUUGAACAGCAUGGUUCAAUAGUGAAAGACGGUUUUGCUGUCACUUAUAGAUGGAUCCGCGCCGCAUUAGCUAGUUGGUAAGGUAACGGCUUACCAAGGCAACGAUGCGUAGCCGACCUGAGAGGGUGACCGGCCACACUGGAACUGAGACACGGUCCAGACUCCUACGGGAGGCAGCAGUAGGGAAUCUUGCGCAAUGGGCGAAAGCUUGACGGAGCAACGCCGCGUGAGUGAUGAAGGUCUUCGGAUCGUAAAACUCUGUUAUUAGGAAAGAACAAAUGUGUAAGUAACUAGGCACGUCUUGACGGUACCUAAUCAGAAAGCCACGGCUAACUACGUG
rnacentral:rRNA from 1 species